rnacentral:rRNA from 1 species
CACGUAGGGAGCGAGCGUUGUUCGGAGUUACUGGGCGUAAAGGGUGUGUAGGCGGUUGUUUAAGUUUGGUGUGAAAUCUCCCGGCUCAACUGGGAGGGUGCGCCGAAUACUGAAUGACUUGGAGUGCGGGAGAGGUGAGUGGAAUUCCUGGUGUAGCGGUGAAAUGCGUAGAUAUCAGGAGGAACACCGGUGGUGUAGACGGCUCACUGGACCGUAACUGACGCUGAGACACGAAAGCGUGGGGAGCGAACAGG